rnacentral:lncRNA from 1 species
UUCCCAAACAUCAACCUUGUUGAGCUUCUCCGUAGAUUUGAUUUCAAGUGCAACUUUUGGUUGAUAGCUACGUAAACAAGAAGAUCAAGUUUGGCAAUUGUUUUCUUAUUUUGUAAAAGUGCUUUUUAUUUCCCUCACCAACGCUUGUAUCUUCAUUCCCAUCUUCAUCCUCACAAAGUAAACGAAACAAUAACAAAAAAGGGAAAAGUUAGUCGAGAGUUGUUGGUUUUUAUCUUUUUUAAAAAACAGAAACCAAAAAAAAUAAUGAGGGAAAAUGGAAAUGAUUGUUU